UACGAAGGGGGCUAGCGUUGCUCGGAAUUACUGGGCGUAAAGCGCACGUAGGCGGCUUCUAAGUCGGGGUGAAAUCCUGGAGCUCAACUCCAGAACUGCCUUCGAUACUGGAGAGCUUGAGUCCGGGAGAGGUGAGUGGAACUGCGAGUGUAGAGGUGAAAUUCGUAGAUAUUCGCAAGAACACCAGUGGCGAAGGCGGCUCACUGGGCCCGGUACUGACGCUGAGGUGCGAAAGCGU
rnacentral:rRNA from 1 species